UACGUAGGGGGCGAGCGUUGUCCGGAAUCAUUGGGCGUAAAGGGCGUGUAGGCGGUUUGCUAAGUCAUGUGUGAAAUCCCUCGGCUCAACCGGGGAACGACGCAUGAAACUGGCAAGCUAGAGUACCAAAGGAGGGGGGUGGAAUUCCCGGUGUAGCGGUGAAAUGCGUAGAUAUCGUGAGGAAGACCAGUGCGAAGGCGGGUACUCUGGGCAGUUCCUGACGCUGAGGCGACGAAGGCCAGGGGAGCAAACGGG
rnacentral:rRNA from 1 species